rnacentral:lncRNA from 1 species
GCUUAUUAACGUCCAAUUGUUGAUUGAAGGUAUUGUCUGCAAUUAAUGCCCGUCAAUGAUGUUUAAAUGUGAUGAUGAUAUUUCAUCAGAAAAGGUAAUAUUGUUGAUACACUGCAGCCCUGAGAAAUCACCAGAGUGUUAAAUGCCACACGGAGGUCAGCAGUCACAUACAGAUGCUGCUGGGUGCUAUGCCAGACUCUCGCCCAUCAUCCCUGUUUGCUCACUAAGACUUUGCCAGCUCUAUGGAUGCUCCCUCAGCCUCAAGUGAAAUCUUAGGUUUGAAGUGAUCCUCUCCAAAAACCAUCAGAGUGAUGCAGAAGGGGCCUUGAAUCCUCUUUUCAAGAGCAGUGACUGCUGCUUGGCUCGGAGAGAUGCAGAAGAAAUGCCUACUUUGCCAGCUAUUACAGCAGAUAGUCAAAGGCGUCCAAGGUUGCCCUUAGAUCACUGAAGGAGCUGUUGUACCGUGUGCUGCGCAUCAUCUAGGAGCAGCAGCAGAGCUGUGGUGGUGCUCAGGGGUGGUGGGCCCUCCAGGAUCUGCUGGCCAUCAAGGAGCAUGUGGGGAAUACCAGGCAACCCUCCCGAGAUGCCAGCACCGUUGGUGCAAGCCUGGCUGUGUUACUGGUGCAGUCACCUGGGUUUAAGAGCAGCGUACUGCUGCUGCAUCUGAAGGAGAUCAGUAAGAGACACCAUCACGGACCUGCACACAGUUCCUGCAGCUGCUGUGAUGCUUCUCAGGAGUGGAGAUCCCCUGCAGUACCGGGGUCUAUCUGCACAGCCACCAAGGCUGUCUGUGAUUUGGGGAAACUAAGCAAUGCUGAAAAGGCUGAACCUGUCAUGCUGAAAGGGAUGAAAAGGCCCCGGCAGACCAGGAACCCUGCCAUACAUGAUGAGACAAUACUUGUUCAAUUAAGCAUCUUAUGCCUGUGUGUAUCUCUUAAUAUGCAAAAUCCCUGGCUCACCGUUAGCCUCUGCACACACUACCUGUCUUAAAAACCCUCAGACUGAGGGGUGGCCCUUCUGCUGGGGUCCACUUCUUCCUGGGCACUGGGGGUAACUUCAGCAAUUCUUUGAGUUAUUUUCUUCGCAGAAAACACAUGGAACAGAUGGGCAUAGGCCAGCAUCAAGGCUGGUGCCGCAGUCACAGAAAAGGAUGUGCCCUGCCCUUGUGAGAUAAACCUUCCCCCACCUCACAUAAAAUAAACAGUUGAGCUUCCAUUGCCCAAAGCUAGCUAUUAACAAGCCUGUUGUUUUGCAGUAGUACGUACAUGGAUAGGUAGGUAGAAAUAGCACAAUACCAAAGAAACUAUCCUCCAUAAAUUAUAGUGGCUUCUUCUGAAUUCUUGUUAAUGCUUACUUUAAACCUUGAUGUCUAACUCUUCUUGAACAUUCUUGUCCAGAGUAAUUAAUUUAUGCUUUGUUCUGAAAGCGUAUCAGUAAACGGGCAUCAAUGCUGAUAGCCAUUUAUUGCUCCAGCAGUGAGGUUAAACAGCUUGUGCUUUUAACUGCAUGGUACAAAAGAUAUAAAACUAUUUGCUUGAGAUAUUAAUCCAGGAUGACCUGAUGUAAAGUGACAGUAAAAGUGGCUUUCCCAAAGAUGUGAAAUAUAUGCUCUGCUCACUACCUCCUGCUGACUCUCUGCUCCAAGUGAAUAAACAUUCAGCUGAAUUCUCCCACCCAGGUGUGAUCCAGCAAUGAACUGGCAGCGCAUCCUUUUGUCUGCUAAUGCCAAUUCUAACUCACAGGAGCAGCCUACCACCGGCUCUGCAGCCAAAAUGCUUUCUCAAUUUUCUCAAGAAUCAACACAGAAAAUACCACAAGAACAUAAAAU